AAUUAAUAUUUGGGUUUAUUUGGUCCGUCAAUUUACAAGCAACCCAAAUUUUUACCUUAAAUUACUGAUCGAACAAAUAUAUCAGAUUAAUUAAAUUCAUUUAUAGGGAAAAAGAAUAAUCAAAUACCAUUUCCACGGUUUCUUGCUCUCGCGCUUCAUGAUAAUGUCUGUACGCUCUCCUCUCGUCGUCAUCGCAAGCUUGAUGCAAUCUACCAUUGCCAAGCACAGCGUCAUCGUUCCUGUCCAAGAUGACGCCCAGUUCGUCGCCAUUCAAGAAUCCAUCUUCGCCAACAAGCGGAAAAUGGGCGUCCCAGAAAUUCAAGAAACUGCCAAGAACCAGGACGACGGGCAGGUCCAAUGUGGGCUCAACAUUCAAGUUAUCGACGAUACUGCAUUGAUCGAUCCUUCCCUUGUUGGGAAUGGGAGGAUUGGCAGGAAUGAUCAAGAAAGUGAAAAGGAGAAGAAGCCUAAACGUAGGGGAGGGAAAGCUAGGAGAAAGAAGGAAGCUUUGAACGGACGCGUUGAGACUCAGGCCUCGCUUGACAAGAAAGGGAAGAAGAGAUUGGUUGUGGAGUAUUCGAGGAAGGAGAUGGAGGCUCUGAGGUUCAAGGAUUUGGAAGAUCAGAAGAAGAAGUGGGCUGAGGUGUAUAGCGGGCUUGGGGCGUUCGUGGCGCAAGAGUACGAUGGGCUGGUGAAUUCUGUUAACAUUCAUCAGAAGCAGAGGGUCCCGGGUUUCGAGUUUGAUCCGAGGUCCCGCUUCCAGAAAUCUGCUAAUUUGGGUUGGAUUACCUGUGAAGGUGUCCCUUUUGUCUUCAUGAUGUUUGUUUAACUACCAGCUCUAAAUGUGAAGAGAUUCAUCGUUCCGUCUACAGAGAUGUUGCAUAUUAGCUCUAAGUAAAGAUGCCGUGGAUGCAAUGGGAAGAGGAAACCAUCUGAGAAUCUUUGCCCACUGAAGAACUGUCUCUUCACAUUUGUGAAAAUACCAAAAAUAUAUAAACUACGACUGCUGCAUAGAACAGUUGAGGAUGCUUUUGCUGCUUAUAUCCGACGCGGGAAUGCGUAUUGGAUCGUCUUUUUUACUAGUUUAGCUCCUUGGAACUAUUGGGAUGUAGGAUAGUGAAUAAGUGUAUAGCUCAAGAAUGAGAAAUUGACACAUUUGUGUUUGUAGAUGUGAGGGGUUAUAGAUUAGAUGCCUUUGAAUUGUAAGUUGAGCAAAAGGUGAUGUAUAUUUUGUUGAUUUUUGGAAUCCAUGUUCAUAGUUAUUGAUUUAAUAAUAUAGAGAUUAUUCACCCCCAA